rnacentral:piRNA from 1 species
UCCUUAAAAGAGUGCUUCCUCCAGUUUG